UCCUUUGCCUCUGACACGGUACCUGGCAAUGUUCAGGACAGAGGCUAAUCUGUGAGCCUAGGACCAGAGUGCUGACGAGGUGCAGCAGGGCCACACUGGACCCAGGGCGUGGACAUGGAGACCAGAGUCAAGGCCAAAACAGAAAGUUACCGAACAGCUCCCUCUGCUGUACCAGAUUUUUCCCUUUUGUUUAGUUAUCACGUAAAGAAGGUAGCCCUUUAGUGGUUUCUGAUGGAUGGAAGUUCUCACUCCUUUCUUUUUCACCUGCUCCCUAAACACGUGACUCAUUAAACCCUCGGCUCCAGGCCACUGUAACUGAACUCAUCAUUGGAACUCAUCUAAGCUUAUUUUGAUCAAAGGAAAGGCUGUAAAGGAUUAGAGGGGAAAAGUUGGACUUUCGUUCACACAUGAGUGCAAGGACAAGAUCUCCUGAGGAUCACUCUUCGUGGGGGGACUCAUGACUUCCCUAAAUACCAAGUUUCCAGUUCAGUUAGAACUUGGAAUUCCAACAGACUGAAGUAGAUGACCCAGUGACAUACUGAUAAGAUCCCUGCACACCCAUUCUAACCCAACUUUUGUGUGGUCGCAAAAUCCAAAAUGUCUCAUAGUGGAAAAUUAUCCUGGUGGAGUCAAUACAGGUCUUAACUUUGAGUGUUUAUGUUGCGAUUUCAGGUCCCACUAAACACUAUUGCACAGACCUAUUUUCUCAUUCCAUAGGAAAUGGGAAUUCAACAUGUUCAUGUUUCCUACAAUUCCUUCCAAACUCUUAGUUGGUAAUAUCCAUAAUUGUGCAUCCCAAACAAUAUCAC
ensembl:lncRNA